rnacentral:rRNA from 1 species
GCGGCGGACGGGUGAGUAACACGUGGGCAACCUGCCCUGCAGACUGGGAUAACUUCGGGAAACCGGAGCUAAUACCGGAUAACACCGAAAACCGCAUGGUUUUCGGUUGAAAGGCGGCUUUUACCUGUCACUGCAGGAUGGGCCCGCGGCGCAUUACCUAGUUGGUGAGGUAACGGCUCACCAAGGCGACAAUGCGUACCCAACCUGAGAGGGUGACCGGCCACACUGGGACUGAAACACGGCCCAAACUCCUACGGGAGGCAGCAGUAGGGAAUCUUCCGCAAUGGACAAAAGUCUGACGGACCAACGCCGCGUGAGCGAAAAAGGUCUUCGGAUCGUAAAGCUCUGUUGUCAGGGAAAAACAAGUGCCGUUCGAACAGGGCGGUACCUUGACGGUACCUGACAAGGAAGCCACGGCUAACUACUUGCCACCACCCGCGGUAAUAC